GGAACACAGGAGAUGAUUCUGAAGGAUUCUGAUAGGGUGGUGACUUGCUGAUUUUUGACAGUUGCGUGUCUGCAAAUCUGAUGGCCAUUCUUGCCCACUAACCCGUAACACUCCAUAUCAGGGCUUUCAAGUUCAUUAGUGCUCAGAAAAACCCUCAGCAUUUGCCACCACUGGUACAGACAGCACCCUGCAUUACAAAUGUGCUAGUAUACACACAGAACAUUACACAAAUGAUGCCUGUGUUGAGGUAGAAUACCUGCUGCUAACUCUUGGUCUACCUACCCAGGUAAUUUUUAACUAUGCAUUUUAUACUCAUGCCUUGUGUUUACUGUUUUAAUCUUUGUCACAGAAGUACAUUUUGAUAUAUAUCUUUUACAUAAUGUUUUACAAUGAUGUGUUUUUAACUGUGUCAUGCACCACCUUGAGCAUCGAGGAGAGGCGGGUAAGAAAUAAAAAUCAUCAUCAUCAUUAUCAGGAAUAGGGAGAUGGAUGCAGAAAGAUUAUGAGAAAGCCCUAAUGAAUACAAAAGUCAAGUAUUUGGAAAGAGCUGGGGCAGAGGCAGAAAAUAAGAAUAUCUCUCUUAGAUGCAUUUGCACUGUGUAAUUAAUGCAGCUUGACAUCAUUGCAAUGUAGAUGUAAUUCUACAUUCGACCCAUAGUUGUUGCUGCUCUUAUUGUUUAAAGCAUGGGAAAGAUUUGUUCUUAUGUAUUUUACCUCAAUCUGCUCUGUAUUACUUCAAUGUCUUUUAAUUUUUGUAUUAUACUUUUCUAAAUGAUUACCAAAGUGUGGGAUUGUUAACCGCCUUGAGUCCCCACGGGGAUAAAGUCGGGGUAUAAAUAAAGUAAAUACAAAAUUAAAAUAAAUAACAUAAGAAAUAAAUUUUUAUAUUUUUACCUUUCCACAGGGUUUCCUGAACCAAACCACAGGCAGAUGCUGAGGUUCCACCAAACUGAUUACAAAAGAAACUUUGAGCGACUUGAGAAACUGCUAGUUGCUUCUGGUAUGAGAGAAUUGGCUUUCUGCAAGGACGUUGCCCAGGGGAUGCCCAGAUGUUUUAACCAUCCUUGUGGAAGGCUUCUCUCAUGUCCCUGCAUGGAGCUGGAGCUCAUCCGCGCUCUCCCCGGUUUGGAUUCGAACCGGAAACCUUCAGGUCAGCAACCCAACCUUCAAGUCAUCAGUCCUGCCAGCACAAGGGUUUAACCCCCUGCACCACUGGGGCUUCAUCUAACCAGAUAAUACUUACACAAUACGCUUCUAGUUAGCUUCCUGGAUCACGAGUAAGAAAAGAUUUCAUUUAUUUCUCUUAACACUAUGGACAAUAUGGUGCUUUGAAACAUGGAAAGCUAGGGUUUGUUAUGAAGAGACCAAUAAGAUGUGAGGAGUGUAUCUGUGGAUUAUCAAACAGUGUAUCUGAGAGGCUGGUAUCUGUGUGAUAAAUGAGAGUUCUAUAAAAGAAAAGAAAAUAUUGUUUCAAAUUCCUGCUCUGUUUACUUUUUUAUUUUAUAAAAAUAGCUUCUUUGAAUAUAUCUUCUAUCACCAGGAGAAAGAAAAUGGGUGAGACUACAGCCUUGAAAACUUACGCAUUAAUAAAAGAGCCAGUUUAACAAUCCCUUAGCAUCCUAGGAGUUCUUCUGAGUGGCACCUUAGCAUCUGAAGGAUAUAAUUAUUAUAACAUCAUGCAACUAAAGAUGCAUUAAGAUCCAGCUGAAAAAAGGACUCCCGCACACCUUGUCCAACAAAUUUUCACAGAAAUUUCAGUGGCAAGUUCAGAUCACUUCC
ensembl:lncRNA